rnacentral:ncRNA from 1 species
UUAAUGGAGAGUUUGAUCCUGGCUCAGGACGAACGCUGGCGGCGUGCCUAAUACAUGCAAGUCGAGCGGAGUUAUUCCUUCGGGGAUAACUUAGCGGCGGACGGGUGAGUAACACGUAGGCAACCUGCCUGUAAGACUGGGAUAACUACCGGAAACGGUAGCUAAGACCGGAUACACGAUUUGAUCGCAUGAUCGAAUUGGGAAAAGCGGAGCAAUCUGCUACUUACAGAUGGGCCUGCGGCGCAUUAGCUAGUUGGUG